UACGUAGGGGGCAAGCGUUGUCCGGAAUCAUUGGGCGUAAAGAGCGCGUAGGCGGUCCGGUAAGUCAGCUGUGAAAGUCAGGGGCUCAACCCUUGAAAGCCGGUGGAUACUGCCGGGCUAGAGUCCGGAAGAGGCGAGUGGAACUCCUGGUGUAGCGGUGGAAUGCGCAGAUAUCAGGAAGAACACCGACGGCGAAGGCAGCUCGCUGGGACGGUACUGACGCUGAGGCGCGAAAGCGUGGGGAGCGAACAGG
rnacentral:rRNA from 1 species